GGUGGAUGGUUGGACUGGAUGAUCUUGGAGGUCUUUUCCAACAUUGGUGAUUCUAUGAUUCCAAGAUGGUGCUACCUGGGCAUGCAUAACAGACUCCCCUUAAGCCUGGGGAGCAGGAUCAGGAGUGAGGCUGCAAUUCACACUAAACGAAAGAAAAUCCAUGGCCCUGCUUUCCCUGUCCCAUUUCUGCCCUCCACUGUAGCUACUGCAGGAGUGCCUGUUCCUUGCACCUUGCAUCCAAGGUAUUAGAAUUCCUAUUAACCCUUCAAUCAGGAGCCAAUUAAAAAAAGAUGGUCACCAAUUUUUAAUCAUUUUGUGAUGGUUUAAUAAGCCUCCUGGAAUCUCUCUUCUGUCCAUACCGCAGCUCUCUGCUGCAUAAACUCACUGGUUUGUUGCUGUGCAGUUUCUCACAGGCUCCCAGGUGGUGAUAAAAGGAUAUGAAAAUAACAUCAAGUGGGGAAGAAAAGACAUUGACCCCAAAGACUCUGUUAUGACGGAUGGUGGUAAUAUGCAACAAUUUGGGGAACUUCUGUGUUUUUGCCUUGCCCAAAAUUCGGAGUAUAUGUUCAGGACUGCCUGGAGAAUUUCAGCUGCUGGGGGGCACUCCACCUUGAACGCUGUUGUGCUCUUAAAGCUAUAUCCCUGCACUGGAGCAGAGCUGCAUGGCCAUUUUGAGCAUGGAAUUAGUUAAGAUACACAGUUUGUACCUUUUUACUAUGAAACUGGGAUUUUUAGCUUGUUUUUCUGGUUACUGGUAUUGAUGGUGUUCACCCAUGUAAUUGCCAAGCACUUUUUCUAGCCAUGAAGAGCAAGCAGUCCAAUAAUUUAAUAAUGAUAAUUUAAAAAAAAAAAAAACACAAUCUAACAAAACUAAUCCAAAAGAGGGUCUAUUUUUACUACAGCAUCCACAUCUAGACACCAGCAUUCACUGUCAUUGAUAACAGAGGAGAAAAAAGUCUCCUAGACUUAGGAAAUGGUUUUAAAUUUUUAUGAGCUCUCUGUAAUGCCAUCCUCAGCUACUCUAGCUAAGAUGAAAUUGCAAGGUUUACCCACUGAUGUGCUUUGAGAAAUAAAUCAGAAACUAAUUGUCUGACAUUAGAGAAGAACUUGUUUUUACCUCCUCCCACCCUACUCAACAUAACUAUUUCUGUUUCCUUUAUACUGUGUAGUCAGUGUCAAUGCAUGUGAUGAGAGCAUAUAUAUUUAUUAUUACACUUGGACUGAUCUUCAUUUGACCCAUGAAAUUGAUACGCUUCCUGUGUGAGAGUUAGUCAGAGACAUACUUUAAUUCUUAUUAAACUAAACCUUUACCAGGGGGCAGGGAGAUUUCAAGGGAGUCUCUGCCAUGUAAAGAAAUCAUGCUGUCUUUCCAUAUAUGAAUCUAAGCACAGUCGGACCUCAGAUUGUAUAGAGCAAGAGAUGUGAAAUGAGUUAUGAGUACUGAGAGUUUGAAUAAUUGACGGAAAUUUCGAUGCAAUUAAUAAAAAGUAAAGGAUGUGAACUCGCUGAUAAAUUAGGGUCUGUGGAUUGUUAUGGCAUGGUAAAUCCAAACGUCAGCCACCCCCCCAUUUUUCUCUGCUGUAAAGCAGCAAAGCCCGUGCUUCUAAUGCAGAUUUGUUAUGCUCUGGCAUAUCUAAUUUCUUAAACCAGAAAGACAAAGAUGACUGAUGCCAAAAAGUGGGAGGGUACAUUUUAAAAAUCCCACUGCUAUUUUAAACAUGGGCUAAAAUGAGACUAUUGUGUGGUUAAAAUUUAUCUAGCAUCCUCUCUGGUUGAGGCACAUCUUGUCAUAUAGAGCAAUGCUGUUAAAGUAGUUCAUGGGAAUGAUGUGCAUGACUCCUCUUGCUAAUGGGAACUGUGUGCAUAGAACAAUUUAGCUGUUAGUGCUCUGAGGAGAACUUGAAUAGCAGGGGCUUGGAGAGGAACAAAACAAAAAGAAAGCUGCUAAGGGCAUUCUGAAAAUACACUCGCUAUUCUUUUUCUUCCCAAGCAUUGCUGCGGUAAGCAACCGCUUCAAAAUUCCUCUUUAAACAAGUGACAUGAAAAGGAAAAGAGCAUGACUUCGUAUCAACAGCCAUUCAGAACAGAGCAGGUCCCAAACUAACCUUGGGGGUAAGAAAGGCUGGUGGGGGGCAGGGUGCCAUGCGGCCGUUCCCUUUGGUUUGUUUCGCUUGGUUUGCCAGUAGUUGAGAGAAAGCAUCCCUCAUGGGAGCGUUCUGACCCAAAUAUCUGGGAUGCUGUACAGAACACCGGCGGGCCAGGAUUUCAGAAAUACAACUGCCUACAGUAAGGCACCCAGCAAAGCACUUGAAUAUUCCACCCGGCUCCCCACCCCCAGGCGAUGGGAUUGCUUAUGCAUUUAAGGCUAGAGUGCUUAAGAGCUCCCUUAUGUAUAGGUUGGAGAACUUAGACAUGGGUGCAGACCCGACCAUGAGCUGUCUGCUAUUGUAGAGCUUGGCCAGAGGGAGGCUUUCUGCAUUUGAUUGUUGGUUUUUUUUUUAAUCACUUUGCUUGUUGAGGAUUUUCCCAACCACGCUCUAUGCAGCAAGCUGCCUUUAAAUGCACUGCAAAGCACGUUUCUGAACCUUUCCUGAACCUUUUAAUUGUGGGGUAGGCUGCAUAUACACAGGUUGUAACAGGGCUGUGUGCAGCUCCUAAGGUUAUGGCAAACACCUAGCAGACUAGAGAGCAGCUCCUUUUAAAGGCUCAGCUAAUUCCCAACUCUCCAUUAUUUCCCAGUCAAGCCUACAAAAACCUGGGAUAUUAAAAAUGCCAAAGAACAUUAUGUAAAUCACCAUCCUUUCCUAAAUGAUGCCAUAUACAUUUCUCAAUGAAUGAAAAGUUGGCUUCAGGUACCGGGAUGGGAUACAGAAAUCCUGACUCCAAUUCCUGCUCCCACCAAAAGAUGUAUGUAUGGCCCUGGACAAGCUACUGACCAUUCAGUUCCAAAUCUGUAAAAGGGCAAUAUACUUUUCUGCCUUUUGAGUCAUGAGAGCCUAACAUCCAUUAGUAAUUGUGAGACGCUCAAUUGUUAAUUCUUAAGUGCUUAGAUACAUCAGUAGAAGAAUUUUCCAGAGGUAUUACUGAACAGAUCUGUGCAUUCUUUUUGGUAAUAUUCGUUAUAAUGUGUUGCUGUACAUCUUUAUUCCCAAUGUUUUAUUUAUUACAAAGUACUAAAGGUUGGGUUUCCUUACAGGAAUGGAUUGACUUGGAGGAGUUCCACAGGGAGUGUAAAUGUUUUCUAUGUCAGAAGAUUAAUAACAGGAAAAAGAAAAAGCUAAGGUUUCCAUUUGAUUGAGACAAUAAAUAAAUGCCUUCACUUUGGCUCCUGGUCUACCAUCUAGCUAUAAGA